GCUUUAACACAAUCACUCAAUUCACAAUCACAAAGAAUUUUGUCUUUUUUAGAAAUUUAUAAUUUACACUGUUAUUCCGUAUUCGUAUCCUAAUCGCUUACUUUGUGGAAAAUAGUAAUCACGAAGCCACUCAAUGAAAAUGAAUGACUAACAGAAAAACAGUUUAGGGACAAAAAGACAAGCUCAGCAUCAAUUAAUAAAGCGAUAAAAAAGUGUUUCAUAGUAAAUGAAAUAUAAUAUUCCCAAAGUUCUCGAAACUUUUAUUACCUAAACAAAUGUGAGUAUAUACAUUAAGAUAUGUAAUACAUUAAGAUAAAGUUAAGUGCUUGCUCUUUUGUUUAUAUUGCUGGUUCUGAAUACUUGCAUAGUUAUAUUUUUAUGUUCAAACGUGCAUAUUCAGCUGGAAUGAAAUCGGACUAAUAACUUACAUCGACAGAUUUUUGUAAAUAAGCGAUUAUAUUUCCAGUUAGUGAUUCCGCUGACUCUAUAUGUAGUAUAUAAAAGAAAUAUACAAGAUUUGUUGUAAAAAGAAAAAUAGUAAUUUUGCUCUCUGUCGUUAAUUGUUCUACAUAUUUGUUUGAUUUCUGAUUUGGCGCCCACCAGGACAUGGCGCCCUUGUGCGGUGCACGCCUUGCACGCCCGCUUACGGCGGGCCUGCUUACAAUCUGAAUUUUUAAAGUGGUUAGGUAAUAUAGCAAAAUUUGAUUAUUUAUAAAAUUCUUUCAUACAGCAUGACUUACUCGAAAACCAUUUAGAUACCUCUUUUAUGUAAUAUUUAUAAGUUAAUAAUUUUCCAAUUUCUAUUUUAUUCCAAUUUCUAUUUGUAUAUAAAAUUUUUUAAAUAAUAACUCAAAGGCCCAUUUCGCCGAUUCAAGUUUAUAUAGGCAACCCAAAUUACACGGCGCAAAGUAGUGGGUCAGGAUUUAGACAGAAUCGUUAGCCCUGGUAAUUAAGGCCAGUCUACCAGUUAAAUAAGAAGAAUAGAAGAAGAAGAACAGGAGCGCCUAAAAGGAGGACUUCGCAGAUCGUGCCGUGACGUCACACGUAACAGCAGAUGAGGAGUGACGUCAAAGUCAAAUGUUGCAUGUUGCAAUGUUGGUGAUUUAAUUAAACUGAUUUUUGUGUUUAUUUUUAUUGCAACUUCUAAUAAAUUAUAAAAUAUCGAUUCACAUAAUAAUAAUCAAGAUGAUUUUAUUUUCAUUGUGGAAGAAGGAAAUAUAUUGCAAUCAUGUAGAUGGAAUCCCGCAUUCUUUAAGAAAAAAAAAGCAAUUUCCAGAAGGAAACUACCAAUAAUAAAAUAAAGUAGAUAAUGCAAGAAAGAACAAAGCCAUUAUUUAACAUAGCUCAACAACUUCACAUAGAAAAAGAUGAGGAAAGGGCGCAACAGAAGUAUGCCAAAUAAAAGGGUAGAAGGGAGACACAGAUAAGAAGUGGAUUUAUUCAAUUUAAAAAUUAAACUGCAAAUGACAAAUAAAUAAAUAAUAAAAAAAAUCAUAGGUGUA